rnacentral:rRNA from 1 species
AUUGAACGCUGGCGGCAGGCCUAACACAUGCAAGUCGGGCGGGCCGGCGGACGGGUGAGUAAUGCCUAGGAAUCUGCCUGGCAGUGGGGGAUAACGUCCGGAAACGGGCGCUAAUAACGCAUACUCUCAGAUGAGCCUAGGUUGGAUUAGCUAGUUGGUGGGGUAAAGGCCUACCAAGGCGACGAUCCGUAACUGGUCUGAGAGGAGGAAAAGGCACACUGGAACGGAGACAAGGGCCAGACUCCUACGGGAGGCAGCAGUGGGGAAUAUUGGACAAUGGGCGAAAGCCUGAUCCAGCCAUGCCGCGUAGGUGAAGAAGGUCUUCGGAUUUUAAAUCUCUUUAAGUUGGGAGGCGUUACCAACAGAAUAAGCACCGGCUAACUUCGUGCCAGCAGCCGCGGUAAUAC